rnacentral:piRNA from 1 species
UGGUUUUAGGUCCUUUGAUGUUACUGUUGU